GCCAUGCCGCGUGCAGGAUGACGGUCCUAUGGAUUGUAAACUGCUUUUGCACAGGAAGAAACAACAUUACGUGUAAUGUCUUGACGGUACUGUGAGAAUAAGGAUCGGCUAACUCCGUGCCAGCAGCCGCGGUAAUACGGAGGAUCCAAGCGUUAUCCGGAAUCAUUGGGUUUAAAGGGUCCGUAGGCGGUUUAGUAAGUCAGUGGUGAAAGCCCAUCGCUCAACGGUGGAACGGCCAUUGAUACUGCUAAACUUGAAUUAUUAGGAAGUAACUAGAAUAUGUAGUGUAGCGGUGAAAUGCUUAGAGAUUACAUGGAAUACCAAUUGCGAAGGCAGGUUACUACUAAUGGAUUGACGCUGAUGGACGAAAGCGUGGGUAGCGAACAGGAUUAGAUACCCUGGUAGUCCACGCCGUAAACGAUGGAUACUAGCUGUUGGGAGCGAUCUCAGUGGCUAAGCGAAAGUGAUAAGUAUCCCACCUGGGGAGUACGUUCGCAAGAAUGAAACUCAAAGGAAUUGACGGGGGCCCGCACAAGCGGUGGAGCAUGUGGUUUAAUUCGAUGAUACGCGAGGAACCUUACCAAGGCUUAAAUGUAGAUUGACCGGUUUGGAAACAGACUUUUC
rnacentral:rRNA from 1 species